UAAGUGAUCAGGAAGGGGAUUUUUCUAGGGCGAGGCUCAUCCAUUGUACUUGGGAUGUGCUGACCCCUGGGAUUUCCCUAAAUGCAGGAAACUCGCCUGCAUAAUUUGUGGUAGUUGAGAGCUGCGUUCACACUCUCCG
rnacentral:snRNA from 1 species